UCAUCUCCAAGUUAACAUUUUUUUGUUUUUGCGCCGGAUUCUGGCCACGAGGAAAAUAAGAGAAAGAGGGGAUGCUUAGUUCCUAAGAUUUUCACCCUAAUCUUCGCAGCCACGAUGUCUUCACCGGGCGAAGUACAGCGUCAGAAAAUAGCUACUUUCCUCCAAGCCCUUUGCGCAGCUAAGUAUGUGCGGGAGGACAACGUUCCUUGCCAAAUCGAGGAGGGACUCUUCCUGGGAUCUGUGGGGGUGGCGUGCAACAAGGAAGCUUUGAAAAGUUUAAACAUCACGCAUGUGCUGAUUGUUGCCAACUCUCUUGAACCUGCCUUCCCUAAUGAUUUCAUUUACAAGAAGAUCGAAGUUAUUGACACUCCUGUUACAAACAUAUCAAAAUAUUUCCAUGAGUGUUUUGAUUUCAUUGAUCAAGCAAGACAUGCUGGUGGUGGAGCAUUGGUGCACUGCUUUGCGGGAAGAUCAAGGAGUGUCACAGUUAUUAUUGCCUAUUUGAUGAAGGAGCAUCAAAUGAGUUUAUCGCAGGCAUUUUCACUUGUUAAGAGUAAAAGACCAAUUGUAGGACCUAAUUCUGGCUUUAUGACGCAAUUGCAAAAUUAUGAGAAUUCUCUAAGAGAGUUAGUAAACCAAGCCCCUGAGCUAGUACGCAGCUGAUGUUGGACAUGAAACAUGAGGAGCAGAGAUCGGGGAAGAAGAUUGGAUAUGCUAAGGAGAGAGAUAGACUGUACUACAUGGAAAAGCUGAACAAAUCUAGCAUCCAGCGUAUAUGGUGACUGACUGACAUCCACCAAAGGCUCAAAGAGAAAUGACAGGCAUUCAACAACAUAUAAAAGAAGGAAGAAUAUGGCUGCUUGUCAAGGAGUGCUGUUUAAGUUGCAAAUUCUAUCUGCAAAUAAGGGAAAAAACUGUAGUGUUCUAAAAGGAACCAGCACAUCCAUGAACAGCUAAAGCUCUUCAUAUGAAUUUUUCCUUUAUUUGAAUAAUUAAAAACUUUAGAAAAUGAACAAAUUUGAAUAAUGUUUUUUUAUAUUAUUUGUGAAUGUUUUUCUGUCUUUCAAUGAAUAA